UACAGAGGUCUCAAGCGUUGUUCGGAUUCAUUGGGCGUAAAGGGUGCGUAGGCGGCGCGGUAAGUCGGGGUGUGAAAUCUCGGAGCUUAACUCCGAAACUGCAUUCGAUACUGCCGUGCUUGAGGACUGGAGAGGAGACUGGAAUUUACGGUGUAGCGGUGAAAUGCGUAGAUAUCGUAAGGAAGACCAGUGGCGAAGGCGGGUCUCUGGACAAAUCCUGACGCUGAGGCGCGAAGGCUAGGGGGAGCAAACGGG
rnacentral:rRNA from 1 species